UGAAUAUUUAACAAAAUAAUAUAUAAAUAAUUAAUGACAAAUAAUUUAAAUUUUUAUAUUUUAUCUAGAAGAAAAACUUUAUAUUUUAAAAAAUAUUUUAUAAUUAUUAAGCAUUAACCUACCGGUCUAACCACUAACUCACCGGUUCGACUAGUAACCCGAUAUCCGAUGCCUUGAUCGAGUAAAGUUUAAUAGCUAUGGUUAAAACGAUAGGUUUAACUUUCCAAACUUGGCUUCAUCUUUGCCUAUCGAACUAUCCCGAUCUUCACCUUACUGCAGGACAUUACAAUGGUGGAUGCUAUUGGGACUACGGUAAAUGAGUUCAUCGACAAAGAUUUGAUCCUAUUUGACUGUGGAGAAGAAGGCUACGCAUGUUUAUAGAUGGUGACAUUUCAACAAUUAGCAGGUAGGAGGUGUAAAUAUAUGGGAAGAGUUCAUAAAUCAAAAUUUUAACUAUGCAUAAUUCAAAAUUUAGAUUACAAGUUUCAUAAAUGCAAAAAUCAGGUUUUAACUAAUUAAUUAAAAAUAU
rnacentral:lncRNA from 1 species